rnacentral:rRNA from 1 species
UGGGGAAUUUUGGACAAUGGGGGAAACCCUGAUCCAGCCAUCCCGCGUGUGCGAUGAAGGCCUUCGGGUUGUAAAGCACUUUUGGCAGGAAAGAAACGUCAUGGGUUAAUACCCCGUGAAACUGACGGUACCUGCAGAAUAAGCACCGGCUAACUACGUGCCAGCAGCCGCGGUAAUACGUAGGGUGCAAGCGUUAAUCGGAAUUACUGGGCGUAAAGCGUGCGCAGGCGGUUCGGAAAGAAAGAUGUGAAAUCCCAGAGCUCAACUUUGGAACUGCAUUUUUAACUACCGGGCUAGAGUGUGUCAGAGGGAGGUGGAAUUCCGGGUGUAGCAGUGAAAUGCGUAGAUAUGCGGAGGAACACCGAUGGCGAAGGCAGCCUCCUGGGAUAACACUGACGCUCAUGCACGAAAGCGUGGGGAGCAAACAGG